rnacentral:rRNA from 1 species
CACCGCCACGGUAAUACGAAGGGUGCAAGCGUUACUCGGAAUUACUGGGCGUAAAGCGUGCGUAGGUGGUGGUUUAAGUCCGUUGUGAAAGCCCUGGGCUCAACCUGGGAAUUGCAGUGGAUACUGGGUCACUAGAGUGUGGUAGAGGAUAGUGGAAUUUCCGGUGUAGCAGUGAAAUGCGUAGAGAUCGGAAGGAACAUCUGUGGCGAAGGCGACUAUCUGGGCCAACACUGACACUGAGGCACGAAAGCGUGGGGAGCAAACAGGAUUAGAUACCCCUGUAGUCCCUGUCUCUUAUACA